rnacentral:rRNA from 1 species
UAGGGAAUCUUCGGCAAUGGGGGCAACCCUGACCGAGCAACGCCGCGUGAGUGAAGAAGGUUUUCGGAUCGUAAAGCUCUGUUGUAAGAGAAGAACGUGUGUGAGAGUGGAAAGUUCACACAGUGACGGUAACUUACCAGAAAGGGACGGCUAACUACGUGCCAGCAGCCGCGGUAAUACGUAGGUCCCGAGCGUUGUCCGGAUUUAUUGGGCGUAAAGCGAGCGCAGGCGGUUUAAUAAGUCUGAAGUUAAAGGCAGUGGCUUAACCAUUGUUCGCUUUGGAAACUGUUAAACUUGAGUGCAGAAGGGGAGAGUGGAAUUCAAUGUGUAGCGGUGAAAUGCGUAGAUAUAUGGAGGAACACCGGUGGCGAAAGCGGCUCUCUGGUCUGUAACUGACGCUGAGGCUCGAAAGCGUGGGGAGCAAACAGG